ensembl:lncRNA
AAUGGGUCCUCAGCUACACUUCAGCAGCACCUACUCAGAGGAGUUCAGUUACCCGGCUCGGGUCAAACCCACCCGGCCCAGACCGUCCUCUGCAUAUCGCAGGAACAAUCCUCAUCCACAACCGGAAAUAUUCAGAAACAGAUCAUAUCAGAUCAGCUUGGAACCAGCAGAUGGAGAUCAUGCCAUCUUUAAAAGCCUUCAAACACCAGGGUACCCAUCAUCAAAGAUCGCGCUCAAAAUCCACUACUGAUUGCAGUGAAGGAAACAGCUGUUUCUAUGUGGUGAAGCCAUAUAAAGUCGGACACUACAUCAUCCACCCAGAGUUUGUGUCAGAAGCAAAGCACUACUAAAAGCCACAUUGUUUGGGCAUUUUAUAUCUAUUUUUUUUUCCCAUUUAUUGUCAGUUUAUAAAUGUCAUUUUACAGUGUAUUAUUGAGGUACGUUAUGUGUUU